rfam:Schistosoma margrebowiei strain Zambia genome assembly, scaffold: SMRZ_contig0012237
AUCCGACUGACGAGUCACAAAUAGGACGAAACGCACUUCCUGAAU